AGACAUUUGCAGAGAACCUCCCAAGGUCUGAUUACCAAGUCUAAGGUUCUGCAGUUCAGCUGCUGCAGCCAAUAAAUUAGGACCCAAACUCAAACUUCCUCCUGUUGCUCGAGCAUCAAUUCCACAUGCAACCACCGGGGACGCUAUAUUUCCCACUACGGAAGGAAUAUUACCUGCCCCAAGCUGGUUUUCACUCAAACUUCCUCCUGAUGCUCGAGCAUCAAUUCCACAUGCACCCACUGGGGACGCUAUAUUUCCCAGUACGGAUGGAAAAUUACCUGCCCCAAGCUGGUUUUCCAACAUGGAUGGUGAUGAAGGGUUCAUACCAUAACCCCCUAAAGCAUAGGCAGAAAACG
rnacentral:lncRNA from 1 species